CAGCAGCCACGGGAAUACAGAGGGUGCAAGCGUUAAUCGGAAUUACUGGGCGUAAAGCGCGCUUAGGUGGUUUGUUAAGUUGGAUGUGAAAGCCCCGGGCUCAACCUGGGAACUGCAUCCAAAACUGGCAAGCUAGAGUACGGUAGAGGGUGGUGGAAUUUCCUGUGUAGCGGUGAAAUGCGUAGAUAUAGGAAGGAACACCAGUGGCGAAGGCGACCACCUGGACUGAUACUGACACUGAGGUGCGAAAGCGUGGGGAGCAAACAGGAUUAGAGACCCCAGUAGUCCCUGUCUCUUAUAC
rnacentral:rRNA from 1 species